rnacentral:tRNA from 1 species
UCCCUGGUGGCUCAGACGGUAAAGCGUCUGCCUGCAAUGCGGGAGACCCGGGUUCGAUACCUGGGUUGGGAA